rnacentral:rRNA from 1 species
AUGGUACUUCUUUCGAACUGGAAUGUGCUUUGUUGGAACGUCAGGGGCCUGAACUCCGACCCUAAGCUUUUUGCCUUAUCGAAUGUUGUUUCCUCUAGUGGUUGUGCCAUGAUUUGCUUGCAAGAAAGCAAAAAGCCCUCUUUUGAUAAUAUGUUCCUUAAGUCUUGCUGUCCUAAAAGAUUUGAUAAAUAUGCCUAUAUUCCCUCUCAAGGAGCCUCUGGAGGUAUUGCAACCAUUUGGAACAGUUCUAUUUUCACAGGUACGGUACUUAUAGAGGAAGAAUUCGCUCUAGUAAUUAAAUUCAAAUCCACACAAUCGGCCCAAGAAUGGACCCUAGUGAACAUUUAUGGACCCUAUCAAGGCGAUCUCAUAGUGGAUUACACAAAUUGGCUUUUGAAUUUAAACAUUCCUUCUUCUGAAGAUUGGCUCCUGAUGGGCGAUUUUAAUUACAUACGAAGUCCUUCUAAUCGCAAUAAACCAGGUGGUAACAUUAAUGACAUGAUCACAUUCAAUGACUUUAUACGGUCUCAGGGGCUUAUUGAACUACCAAUUAAGGGCAGGGCAUACACAUGGAGUAACAUGCAGCAACAACCUUUACUUGAACAAUUGGAUUGGUUUCUAACUUCCACUAAUUGGACUAUCACAUAUCCAAAGACUUUGGUAAAACCCCUCGGGAAGCCAGUCUUUGAUCACAUUCCCUAUGUAGUGACCAUUGAAACUACUAUUCCAAAAAUUAACAUAUUCAGGUUUGAAUCCUUCUGGGUGCAACACUCGGGGUUUAUG